UACGGAGGGAGCAAGCGUUACUCGGAAUUAUUGGGCGUAAAGGGCGCGUAGGCGAUUCGAUAAGUCUCAUGUGAAAUCCCAGGGCCUAACCCUGGAAUGGCAUGGGAUACUGUUGGAUUUGAGUUCCGGAGAGGAAGGCAGAAUUCCCGGUGUAGCGGUGAAAUGCGUAGAUAUCGGGAGGAAUACCAGUGGCGAAGGCGGCCUUCUGGACGGAUACUGACGCUGAGGCGCGAAAGCCAGGGGAGCAAACGGGG
rnacentral:rRNA from 1 species